UUGAACGCUGGCGGCAGGCCUAACACAUGCAAGUCGCACGGUAACAGGAAACAGCUUGCUGUUUCGCUGACGAGUGGCGGACGGGUGAGUAAUGUCUGGGAAACUGCCUGAUGGAGGGGGAUAACUACUGGAAACGGUAGCUAAUACCGCAUAACGUCGCAAGACCAAAGAGGGGGACCUUCGGGCCUCUUGCCAUCGGAUGUGCCCAGAUGGGAUUAGCUAGUAGGUGGGGUAACGGCUCACCUAGGCGACGAUCCCUAGCUGGUCUGAGAGGAUGACCAGCCACACUGGAACUGAGACACGGUCCAGACUCCUACGGGAGGCAGCAGUGGGGAAUAUUGCACAAUGGGCGCAAGCCUGAUGCAGCCAUGCCGCGUGUAUGAAGAAGGCCUUCGGGUUGUAAAGUACUUUCAGCGGGGAGGAAGGGAGUAAAGUUAAUACCUUUACUCAUUGACGUUACCCGCAGAAGAAGCACCGGCUAACUCCGUG
rnacentral:rRNA from 1 species